AGAUGUGAGGGUGAUCUGACUGCGACAUCUGUUGCCCCAUUGACCGACAGGGUUGAUUUGGCUGAUCUGGCUGGCUAGGUGGGUGUUCACUUCCUCCCUCACUGCUCCAUGUGCAUCCCUCCCAAAACUGCAUGCUUGGUCGAAGAGCAUGACCUUCCCCGCUAGAGGAGGACCAUUCUUCAGUCAAGGGUAUACAAGUAGCUGUGCUCCCCUGCUAGAACCUCCAAACAAGCUCUCAAGAAUACUAGUUUGAUGAAGAAAAAGAGAGACUACAAAUUACUAACAUCAGAAAUGAAAGGGAAACAUUGCUACUGUAAUUUUUUAUUU
rnacentral:snRNA from 1 species